GAUGAAGAACGCAGCGAAAUGCGAUACUUGGUGUGAAUUGCAGAAUCCCGUGAACCAUCGAGUCUUUGAACGCAAGUUGCGCCCGAAGCCACUAGGCCGAGGGCACGCCUACCUGGGCGUCACACGCCGUUGCCCCCCCAUCUACUCCUUCGGGAUUGCGGGGGGGCGGAUGAUGGCCUCCCGUGCGCCUAGCCGCGCGGUUGGCAUAAAUACCAAGUCCUCGGCGACGCACGCCACGACAAUCGGUGGUUGCGAAACCUCGGUUGCCCGUCGUGUGCGUUCGUCGCGCAUCGAGGGCUCGAAAAAAUGCUCGGCUCCGGCUGGGCUUUCAACGCGAUCCCAGGUCAGGCGGGGUUACCCGCUGAAUUUAAGCAUAUCAAUAAGCGGAGGA
rnacentral:misc_RNA from 1 species